rnacentral:sRNA from 1 species
GCCAGGCAUGGUGGUCCAUGCCUGUAAUCCCAGUUAUUUGGAGGCUGAGGCAGGAGGAUUGCAAAUAUGAAGCCAUCCCAGGCAACUUAGGAGGACCCUGUCUCAA